UACGUAGGGCGCGAGCGUUGUCCGGAAUUAUUGGGCGUAAAGAGCUCGUAGGCGGCUUGUCACGUCGGGUGUGAAAGACCGGGGCUUAACUCCGGUUCUGCAUUCGAUACGGGCUAGCUAGAGUGUGGUAGGGGAGAUCGGAAUUCCUGGUGUAGCGGUGAAAUGCGCAGAUAUCAGGAGGAACACCGGUGGCGAAGGCGGAUCUCUGGGCCAUUACUGACGCUGAGGAGCGAAAGCCAGGGGAGCAAACGGG
rnacentral:rRNA from 1 species